AUUGAACGCUGGCGGCAUGCCUUACACAUGCAAGUCGAACGGUAACAGGUCUUCGGAUGCUGACGAGUGGCGAACGGGUGAGUAAUACAUCGGAACGUGCCUAGUAGUGGGGGAUAACUACUCGAAAGAGUGGCUAAUACCGCAUGAGAUCUACGGAUGAAAGCAGGGGAUCGCAAGACCUUGUGCUACUAGAGCGGCCGAUGGCAGAUUAGGUAGUUGGUGGGAUAAAAGCUUACCAAGCCGACGAUCUGUAGCUGGUCUGAGAGGACGAUCAGCCACACUGGGACUGAGACACGGCCCAGACUCCUACGGGAGGCAGCAGUGGGGAAUUUUGGACGAUGGGCGAAAGCCUGAUCCAGCCAUGCCGCGUGCAGGAUGAAGGCCUUCGGGUUGUAAACUGCUUUUGUACGGAACGAAAAGACUCUGGUUGAUACCUGGGGUCCAUGACGGUACCGUAAGAAUAAGCACCGGCUAACUACGUGCCAGCCGCCGCCGUAACAC
rnacentral:rRNA from 1 species